rnacentral:rRNA from 1 species
GACGAACGCUGGCGGCGUGCCUAACACAUGCAAGUUGAGCGACGAACCAGGGCUUGCCCUGGGGCAAAGCAGCGAACGGGUGAGUAACACGUGGGUAACCUACCCCGAUAACCGGGACAACCCGAGGAAACUCGGGCUAAUACCGGAUGUGCUCACUGGACUUCGGUUCAGUGCGUAAAGGAAGCUUCGGCCUCCGUAUCGGGAGGGGCCCGCGGCCCAUUAGUUUGUUGGUGAGGUAACGGCUCACCAAGACCGCGAUGGGUAGCUGGUCUGAGAGGACGAUCAGCCACACUGGGACUGAGACACGGCCCAGACUCCUACGGGAGGCAGCAGUGGGGAAUAUUGCGCAAUGCGCGAAAGCGUGACGCAGCAACGCCGCGUGGGGGAAGAAGGCCUUCGGGUUGUAAACCCCUUUCAGGAGGGACGAAGGUUCGGCGGUGAAUAGCCGUCCGGACUGACGGUACCUCCACAAGAAGCCCCGGCUAACUACGUG